rnacentral:rRNA from 1 species
UAGGGAAUCUUGGACAAUGGGCGAAAGCCUGAUCCAGCCAUGCCGCGUGAGUGAUGAAGGCCUUAGGGUUGUAAAGCUCUUUCGCCAGGGAAGAUAAUGACGGUACCUGGAUAAGAAGCCCCGGCUAACUUCGUGCCAGCAGCCGCGGUAAUACGAAGGGGGCUAGCGUUGUUCGGAAUUACUGGGCGUAAAGCGCACGUAGGCGGCUUUCCAAGUUGGAGGUGAAAUCCCCGGGCUUACCCCGGGAACUGCCUCCAAAACUGAAAGGCUAGAGUCCGAGAGAGGUGAGUGGAAUUUCCAGUGUAGAGGUGAAAUUCGUAGAUAUUGGAAAGAACACCAGUGGCGAAGGCGGCUCACUGGCUCGGUACUGACGCUGAGGUGCGACAGCGUGGGGAGCAAACA